rnacentral:rRNA from 1 species
UGGGGAAUAUUGCACAAUGGGGGAAACCCUGAUGCAGCGACGCCGCGUGAGCGAUGAAGGCUUUCGAGUCGUAAAGCUCUGUCCUAUGGGAAGAUAAUGACGGUACCAUAGAAGAAAGCCCCGGCUAAUUACGUGCCAGCAGCCGCGGUAAUACGUAAGGGGCGAGCGUUGUCCGGAAUUAUUGGGCGUAAAGAGUGCGUAGGCGGCAAAUUAAGUCAGAUGUGAAAACUAAGGGCUCAACCCAUAGAUUGCAUCUGAAACUGAUAUGCUUGAGUCAAGGAGAGGAAAGUGGAAUUCCUAGUGUAGCGGUGGAAUGCGUAGAUAUAAGGAGGAAUACCGGUGGCGAAGGCGACUUUCUGGACUUGAACUGACGCUGAGGCACGAAAGCGUGGGGAGCAAACAGG